rnacentral:tRNA from 2 species
GGCGGACGUGGCCAAGUGGAUUAAGGCAGUGGAU